rnacentral:rRNA from 1 species
UGGGGAAUUUUGCGCAAUGGGCGAAAGCCUGACGCAGCAACGCCGCGUGGAGGAUGAAGGUCUUUGGAUUGUAAACUCCUGUCAGCAGGGAAAAAGCGAGGGGGCCUAAUACGCUCUCGAGUUGAUUGUACCUGCAGAGGAAGCCCCGGCUAACUCUGUGCCAGCAGCCGCGGUAAUACAGAGGGGGCAAGCGUUAUUCGGAAUUAUUGGGCGUAAAGGGGCGCGUAGGCGGCUUUGCAAGUGACGGGUGAAAGCCCUCGGCUUAACCGAGGAACUGCCUGUCAGACUGUGAGGCUUGAGACCGGGAGAGGUGAGU